AGAUUGAACGCUGGCGGAAUGCUUUACACAUGCAAGUCGAGCGGCAGCGCGGGGCAACCUGGCGGCGAGCGGCGAACGGGUGAGUAAUGCAUCGGAACAUGUCCAUGUCGUGGGGGAUAGCCCGGCGAAAGCCGGAUUAAUACCGCAUACGCCCGAGAGGGGAAAGUGGGGGACCGCAAGGCCUCACGCGAUUGGGUUGGCCGAUGUCCGAUUAGCUAGUUGGCGGGGUAAUGGCCACCAAGGCGAUGAUCGGUAGCUGGUCUGAGAGGAUGAUCAGCCACACUGGGACUGAGACACGGCCCAGACUCCUACGGGAGGCAGCAGUGGGGAAUUUGGACAAUGGGGGCAACCCUGAUCCAGCCAUUCCG
rnacentral:rRNA from 1 species